ACUCAAAUGAAUUGACGGGGGCCCGCACAAGCGGUGGAGCAUGUGGUUUAAUUCGACGCAACGCGAAGAACCUUACCUGGGCUCGAACGGCUUCUCAACGCCGGUGGAAACACCGGUACCCCGCAAGGGGGUGGAGUCGAGGUGCUGCAUGGCUGUCGUCAGCUCGUGUCGUGAGAUGUUGGGUUAAGUCCCGCAACGAGCGCAACCCUUGUCCCGUGUUGCCAGCAUUUAGUUGGGCACUCUCGGGAGACCGCCAGCGAUAAGCUGGAGGAAGGUGGGGAUGACGUCAAGUCAUCAUGGCCUUUAUGUCCAGGGCUACACACGUGCUACAAUGGCCGGUACAGAACGUUGCCAACCCGCGAGGGGGAGCAAAUCGUCAAAAACCGGUCUCAGUUCGGAUUGCAGGCUGCAACUCGCCUGCAUGAAGCUGGAAUCGCUAGUAAUGGCAUAUCAGAACGAUGCCGUGAAUACGUUCCCGGGCCUUGCACACACCGCCCGU
rnacentral:rRNA from 1 species